ensembl:lncRNA
GAAAGAACCUGUGCUGACAGGGCAUCCUAGGGUUAGAGCUAGAAGGGCCCAGGGAGAUCCAGCUGGCCUCGUUUUACAGACUUGGAAACUGAGAGAUGAAAGAUUAGCUGAGACUUUGUAAGGAAGAAGCAGAGCCUCAUUUUCCAUCUCCAAAUUGCGCAUUUGUAUAUGCUUGGAUAGGGCAGUAGGAGGCUAUGUCAGAAAGAUCAGGAAGAUGCACAGCAGGGAGGAUUUGAACAUUUUGUGCUAAAAAUUUGAAGGGAUCCUGAAUAGUUCUGGGGCGCCAUCUUCUGGUGAGUGAGUAUGUAGAGGACACCACUACCUAAGGGAGAUUCAGCCAGUCUUAGACUAAUUAAAUUGUCAUUUAAAAUGAAGGACUUGAACUUGAAACUGCAAUUGAAGUAGUUUCUAAGGAUAAUCAUAGCAUGUUGUAACUGAAUGAAAGAGCAUUUAAGCCGUUAAUGUUGUAAUUAGGGAGCACAGUGUUAAGUGAUCGGAAGACAAAUAGAAAAAUAAACCUGUUUUCAAGGAGCUCACAUUCCUGGAAUGGGGAAAACAAUACCGAUGUACAAGAUUUGAGCUGUAAAUCAGAUGAAAAGAACCCAUUUCCUUCAUUAUGUUGCUGCCAAACAGAUGGCAACACAUCUUUAAUGCCUUUUCUGUUGGCUAAACUUUAUCCAUUUCUAAUGAAAAGACCUUAGAGAUCCAGUUCAACCCCCUCGUUUGAAAAAAUGAGGGAAAAGGCUUAAUGCUCAUACAUUUUGUGACAAAACCAAGAUAAAAACCUAAGCAUCCCUGAUAAUCCAGUACUCUUUUUCCCUAUACCAAGAAACAGUGGCACUCUAUAGUUAACAAUACUUGAGAAAUUGAACAAUAUAACCAUAGGAAAACUUCAAGGAAAAGAAUGUGGGCUUUGAGUUGGAGAUCUGCUUUACUCACUAAAUAACUAGGCAAAUUAUUUAGCCAGGUAUAAAAAAUAUAUAUAACAUAUAAUAUUAUACAUAGUUACAUAAUAUUAUAAGUAUAAUAUAUAGGUCAGUUUUCCAUUCUGUUAAAAGAAUAACUUCAUACUUCAGCAGAGAGGGUAAAAAUCAAAUGAAGUGAUGUGAAAACAUUUUGAAAAGGUUAAAAAUGUUGUUUAGGUAUAAAAGAAUAUAUAACAUAUUAUAUAUAUUAUAUAAUAUUAUAUAUAUAGUAUAAAAGACCUUAGAUCUGAACUACAGUGGACUAUAUCCAGCUCAUACAAGUCUUGUCUUUCCUGAUGGACUUAACGUUGAUUUGCCUGAAGACCUUGCAUGAUGAUUUGUUCUGGGAACUUACUGGGCUCCUAUCCUUUAAUGAAAAAUGCAUUGUAUACUAUAUGAUGACCAGUUCUGAUGGACCAGGCCAUCCUCAGCAAUGAGAUCAACCAAACCAUUUCCAAUGGAGCAGUAACGAACUGAACCAGCCAAUCCCUAUAUUUAUGCACACCUGCAUUUUUGAUUUCCUUCACAAGCUAAUUGUACAAUAUUUCAGAGUCUGAUUCUUUUUGUACAGCAAAAUAACGUUUUGGUCAUGUAUACUUAUUGUGUAUCUAAUUUAUAUUUUAAUAUAUUUAACAUCUACUGGUC